rnacentral:sRNA from 29 species
ACCUGCCCGGUGCGCCCCCGCGCACCCGGGCGAACGACACACAUCGCGCCAUGGAAGAAAUGUGCGCACAAGGGCGUU